CAUCGAUGAAGAACGCAGCGAAAUGCGGUAAGUAAUGUGAAUUGCAGAAUUCCGUGAAUCAUCGAAUCUUGAAACGCACAUUGCGCCCUCUGGUAUUCCGGGGGGCAUGCCUGUCCGAGCGUCAUUGCAACCCUCAAGCGCGGCUUGUGUGUUGGGCCCUCGUCCCCCCGUGGACGUGCCCGAAAUGCAGUGGCGGCGUCGUGUUCCGGUGCCCGAGCGUAUGGGGCUUUGUCACCCGCUCUUGGAGGCCCGGCCGGCCCCGGCCCAUCGACCAUCGAGGACUCGUUCCUCAACCAGGUUGACCUCGGAUCAGGUAGGGAUACCCGCUGAACUUAAGCAUAUCAACAAGCGGAGGAA
rnacentral:rRNA from 1 species